rnacentral:rRNA from 1 species
AUUGAACGCUGGCGGCAUGCCUUACACAUGCAAGUCGAACGGUAACGGGCCUUCGGGUGCCGACGAGUGGCGCACGGGUGCGUAAUACUUCGGCACGUGCCCGCUCGUUGGGGGUCACGAGGCGCAACCUUUGCUCAUACCUCAUACGAUCUACGGUUGAAAGCCGGGGACCGCAAGGCCUUGCGCGGACGUUGCGGCCGAUGGCAGAUUAGGUCGGUGGUGGGUUAAAAGCUUACCAAGCCGACGCUUGGUAACCGGUCUGAGAGGAUGAUCAGUCACACUGGGACUGAGACACGGCCCAGACUCCUACGGGAGGCAACAGUGGGGAAUUUUGGACAAUGGGCGCAAGCCUGAACCAGCCAUGGCGGGUGGAGGGAGGAGGCCUUCGGGUUGUAAACUGCUUGUGUACGGAACAAAAAGACUUCGUUUAAUACAGGAGGGGCAUGACGGUACCGUAAGAAGAAGCACCGGCUAACUACGUG